GAUUGAUAAUCCUAUAGACUGAUGAAACCCACUAAUAUUUUGGCGUGGCUUUUAUUGCAAAGUGAUGUAAUUACUCUUUCUUGAAAAUUUGUUUGGUUGAAUAUAUUCUUAGGAGUAUGAUAUCAAUGGAAAAAAGUUGAUUCUUGAGAUUGUGAAAAGAAAAGUAAUUUAGGGAGGAAGAUGAGACUUGGAAUAUAAGAGAUAUGCACUUCUUGGUCUUCUCUCAGUAUUCUCCAAGAGGCCUUAAGGAUUCCACUUCAAGAAAUAGAAGGAAUCCACCUUGUAACAAAAUAACGAUUGUAAUUGAAUUUUCUUUGACUCAAAAUUUCUGCCUUCAUGGAAAACGAGAAUAAAUAAACAACAGUGCUCUUGUUCUAAGAAAUUCCACUUAUAAAACAACAGUUCUCUUGUUCCAAUGUGAAAUGUAUUCAAUAUGCCUUCUGUAGAAAAGAGAUUGAAGAAUAAAAGGUUGAAAAAUUCUUCUUAAAAAUUGUAUAGAGACAUGUACACACACACACACACAUAUAUAUAUAUAUAUAUACACACAAAAAUCCUAGAACCCAAGUUCGGGACUUUCCCAACUCAAUUACAAUAAAAUCCCUUUGAUUAUGGGAUUGCCUGCCUAAUUCUCUAUUCAGAAUCACAAUUUUCCUAAUUUCAAUCUUCCACUCCCCCUCAAGUUGGUGAAUAAAUGUUUUUCAUUCCCAGUUUGGAUAUGCUUGCUUGAAAUUUUGUACCGUUUAAAUCUUUUGUGAGUAUAUUUGCAAGUUGGCGGUCAGUAGAUAUAUAAGGGUAUAAAUCAAUCCACUGUCUAGUUUCUCUUUGAUAAAAUGCCUGUUAAUUUUUGUAUUUCGUUCGAUCGUGUUGCACUGGAUUAUGUGCAAUACUGAUUGUAGAUUUAUUGUCAUAGUAAAGUCCCAUUGGCCUAUCCCAUUUUAUCUUCAACCAUAGUAGUUCACAGACUCCUUUGGUCAUUGCUCGGAAUUCUGCUUCUGUGUUGGACCUUGCUACCAAACUCUGUUUCUUGCUUCUCCAUAUCACCAUAUUCCCACCAAGAAAGGUGCAAUGCCCUCAUGUUGAAAGUAUGGAGUUAAGACUUUAUUAUUAUUAUUAUUAUUUUUUGAUAAGUAUAAUUUGAUUUUAGAGUUAAGACUUGAUUGAAAUAGUCUUUGGCAUUAUCGGAUCAAAACCUCUUGAUAGUGACACCAAAUUGGUUUUCUACCAUGUUAUGAAAAUUUGGAAGAACAAAACUCACAUAAAAUUUGUGUUUAAGUACGAAAAUCCAAGAGACCCUCGUGGAAUCAUCGAUAAAAGAUAUGAACCAAUAUGCACUAGAUAUAUUAGAGAUAGGGGAAGGACCUCAAAUAUCACUGUGAAUUAAAUGAAAAUGUUCUGAACUUCUUUUAUUAGAUGGGAAAGGGUGAACGCGUGUGUUUUAGCAAGUUCACAUACAUCACAAUAGAAGCUCUCAACAUUUAAUUUAUUGAAUAGGGAAGGAAACAAAAGCUUAAGAGUUUGAAAUGAUAAAUGUCCAAGCCUAUGAUGAUGAAGCCAAAUUUUUUUUUCAUUUAAAAGAUGGUGCUUUGAAAGGGAAAAUACAGAUGACUCACUUGGUAUCUCAAGGUAGUAUAGCCUGUUCUGUUCCUUAGCAAGUCCAAUCCUCUUUCCCAAGUCUUGGUCUUGAAAUACACAAUAAGUAAGAAAAAAUGUCACAUUGCAACCCAAAUCUUGUGUAAGCUUUUGUAUAGAAACAAGAUUAGUGGACAACUUUGGAACAUGGAGCACAUUUCUGAGUAUGAGUGUAGGACUAAUUUGGACAUCUCCUAAACCCGCGAUAGAGAUUAAGGAACCAUCUGCCAUGGCUAUUUUCCUACUACUUGGACAAGGGUUAUAGUUUUUAAAUUGGUGUGACGAAAUGGGUCAUGUGAUUUGUGGCACCUAAAUCCAUAACCCAUGAUUUGACAAAGAUUUCAUCCGAGACUUUUAAUCCAAUGGAAAUAGGAAACUUACCUGAAAGUGCUAGUGAGUAGGUGCUUGAAGUUUGCUUGCCCAUUAUUCCUCUAUUGUCCUCCAUUGUAACCCCACUCUUUGCUAGAUGUAGUUGGGGUUUACCGUGAAGUUUCCAACAUUUUUCUUGUGUAUGUCUAGGUUUUUGACAGUGAGUGCACCAUAAGUUGUCCUUGUUAUCACGGUUUGAAGCCUUUGACUGAUCAAUCCUUUUGUUAUUCGCAAUGCUAGCCUUAUGAUCAUUGCCUUUGUUAGCAACCAUAGCUGAGCCUUCCAUAUUCUAAGGUUCAAGCAUGCCACUCUUUGCUAGAUGUAGUUGGGGCUUACCAUGAAGUUUCCAACAUUUUUCUUGUGUAUGUCUAGGUUUUUGAUAGUGAGUGCACCA